UGAGGAAUCUUGCGCAAUGGGCGAAAGCCUGACGCAGCAACGCCGCGUGGAGGAUGAAGGUCUUCGGAUCGUAAACUCCUGUCAGAUGGGGCGAAGGUCCACUGCCUAAUACGCAGUGGUCUUGACGGUACCAUCAGAGGAAGCCACGGCUAACUCUGUGCCAGCAGCCGCGGUAAUACAGAGGUGGCGAGCGUUAUUCGGAAUUACUGGGCGUAAAGCGUGCGCAGGCGGCGACAUAAGACAGAUGUGAAAUCCCCGGGCUCAACCUGGGAACUGCGUUUGUGACUGUGUUGCUAGAGUGUAGCAGAGGGGGGUGGAAUUCCACGUGUAGCAGUGAAAUGCGUAGAGAUGUGGAGGAACACCGAUGGCGAAGGCAGCCCCCUGGGUUAACACUGACGCUCAUGCACGAAAGCGUGGGGAGCAAACAGGAUUAGAUACCCUCGUAGUCCCUGAGCGGGCUGGCAAGGCGCAU
rnacentral:rRNA from 1 species